CGACCUCAGAGCAGGCGAGACUACCCGCUGAAUUUAAGCAUAUUACUAAGCGGAGGAAAAGAAACUAACAAGGAUUCCCCCAGUAGCGGCGAGCGAACAGGGAAGAGUCCAGCACCGAACCCCGCAGGCUGCCGCCUGUCGUGGCAUGUGGUGUUUGGGAGGGUCCACUACCCCGACGCCUCGCGCCGAGCCCAAGUCCAACUUGAAUGAGGCCACGGCCCGUAGAGGGUGCCAGGCCCGUAGCGGCCGGUGCGAGCGUCGGCGGGACCUCUCCUUCGAGUCGGGUUGCUUGAGAGUGCAGCUCCAAGUGGGUGGUAAACUCCAUCUGAGACUAAAUAUGACCACGAGACCGAUAGCGAACAAGUACCGUGAGGGAAAGUUGAAAAGAACUUUGAAGAGAGAGUUCAAAAGUACGUGAAACCGUUCUGGGGUAAACGUGAGAAGUCCGAAAGGUCGAACGGGUGAGAUUCACGCCCAUCCGGCCACUGGCCUCCGCCCUCGGCAGAUGGGGCCGGCCGCCCGCGCGGAGCAAUCCGCGGCGGGGUCGUGUCCGGUUGCCUUUCCACUCGCCGCGGGGUGGGGCCGUUCCGGUGUGCGGUGGGCCGCACUUCUCCCCUAGUAGGACGUCGCGACCCGCUGGGUGCCGGCCUACGGCCCGGGUGCGCAGCCUGUCCUUCCGCGGGCCUCGGUUCGCGUCUGUUGGGCAGAGCCCCGGUGUCCUGGCUGGCUGCCCGGCGGUAUAUCUGGAGGAGUCGAUUCGCCCCUUUGGGCGCUCGGGCUCCCGGCAAGCGCGCGCGGUUCUUCCCGGAUGACGGACCUACCUGGCCCGGCCCCGGACCCGCGCCGCUGUUGGCUCGGGAUGCUCUCGGGCGGAAUAAUCGCUCCCGUCAGCGGCGCUUCAGCUUUGGACAAUUUCACGACCCGUCUUGAAACACGGACCAAGGAGUCUAACAUGUGCGCGAGUCAUUGGGCUGUACGAAACCUAAAGGCGUAAUGAAAGUGAAGGUCUCGCCUUGCGCGGGCCGAGGGAGGAUGGGGCUUCCCCGCCCUUCACGGGGCGGCGGCCUCCGCACUCCCGGGGCGUCUCGUCCUCAUUGCGAGGUGAGGCGCACCUAGAGCGUACACGUUGGGACCCGAAAGAUGGUGAACUAUGCCUGGCCAGGACGAAGUCAGGGGAAACCCUGAUGGAGGUCCGUAGCGAUUCUGACGUGCAAAUCGAUCGUCGGAGCUGGGUAUAGGGGCGAAAGACUAAUCGAACCAUCUAGUAGCUGGUUCCCUCCGAAGUUUCCCUCAGGAUAGCUGGUGCUCGUACGAGUCUCAUCCGGUAAAGCGAAUGAUUAGAGGCCUUGGGGCCGAAACGACCUCAACCUAUUCUCAAACUUUAAAUGGGUGAGAUCUCCGGCUUGCUUGAUAUGCUGAAGCCGCGAGCAAACGACUCGGAUCGGAGUGCCAAGUGGGCCACUUUUGGUAAGCAGAACUGGCGCUGUGGGAUGAACCAAACGCCGAGUUAAGGCGCCCGAAUCGACGCUCAUGGGAAACCAUGAAAGGCGUUGGUUGCUUAAGACAGCAGGACGGUGGCCAUGGAAGUCGGAAUCCGCUAAGGAGUGUGUAACAACUCACCUGCCGAAGCAACUAGCCCUGAAAAUGGAUGGCGCUGAAGCGUCGUGCCUAUACUCGGCCGUCAGUCUGGCAGUCAUGGCCGGUCCUUGCGGCCGGCCGCGAAGCCCUGACGAGUAGGAGGGUCGCGGCGGUGGGCGCAGAAGGGUCUGGGCGUGAGCCUGCCUGGAGCCGCCGUCGGUGCAGAUCUUGGUGGUAGUAGCAAAUACUCCAGCGAGGCCCUGGAGGGCUGACGCGGAGAAGGGUUUCGUGUGAACAGCCGUUGCACACGAGUCAGUCGAUCCUAAGCCCUAGGAGAAAUCCGAUGUUGAUGGGGGCCGUCAUAGCAUGAUGCGCUUUGUGCUGGCCCCCGUUGGGCGAAAGGGAAUCCGGUUCCUAUUCCGGAACCCGGCAGCGGAACCGAUACAAGUCGGGCCCCUCUUUUAGAGAUGCUCGUCGGGGUAACCCAAAAGGACCCGGAGACGCCGUCGGGAGAUCGGGGAAGAGUUUUCUUUUCUGCAUGAGCGUUCGAGUUCCCUGGAAUCCUCUAGCAGGGAGAUAGGGUUUGGAACGCGAAGAGCACCGCAGUUGCGGCGGUGUCCCGAUCUUCCCCUCGGACCUUGAAAAUCCGGGAGAGGGCCACGUGGAGGUGUCGCGCCGGUUCGUACCCAUAUCCGCAGCAGGUCUCCAAGGUGAAGAGCCUCUAGUCGAUAGAAUAAUGUAGGUAAGGGAAGUCGGCAAAUUGGAUCCGUAACUUCGGGAUAAGGAUUGGCUCUGAGGAUCGGGGCGUGUCGGGCUUGGUCGGGAAGUGGGUCAGCGCUAACGUGCCGGGCCUGGGCGAGGUGAGUGCCGUAGGGGUGCCGGUAAGUGCGGGCGUUUAGCGCGGGCGUGGUCUGCUCUCGCCGUUGGUCGGCCUCGUGCUGGCCGGCGGUGCAGGAUGCGCGCGCCUGCGCGGCGUUCGCGCCCCGGUGCUUCAACCUGCGUGCAGGAUCCGAGCUCGGUCCCGUGCCUUGGCCUCCCACGGAUCUUCCUUGCUGCGAGGCCGCGUCCGCCUUAGCGUGCUCCUCCGGGGGCGCGCGGGUGCGCGGAUUCUCUUCGGCCGCCAUUCAACGAUCAACUCAGAACUGGCACGGACUGGGGGAAUCCGACUGUCUAAUUAAAACAAAGCAUUGCGAUGGCCCUAGCGGGUGUUGACGCAAUGUGAUUUCUGCCCAGUGCUCUGAAUGUCAACGUGAAGAAAUUCAAGCAAGCGCGGGUAAACGGCGGGAGUAACUAUGACGCCCCGUGCUGGCUGCACAGACACGCCCACGCCGGCGCCGUCCGCUAUCACUGUCGUGCUGCCCUCGUAGCACCGCUCGACAUACUCGACAAAGCAAUCCGGCAGGCCAUGCGCCUUCAGCACGGGGCGAAGGGCAGCAUGAUCUACCGAAUCGAAUGCCUUAGAUACGUCGAUCGAUGCCACAAAGACAGAGCGGCAGGAGCGAACUGCGUCGGUGAGAGCAGUGUCCAAGAUGAAGGUAUUUUCCAACAUCCCAUCCCGAGGGAUGAAUGCCCGCUGACGUUCGUCCACAGCACAUGCGCGCAUCAGGCGUGACGCGAGAACCUUGUGAAAGGUCCGCGCCAACACCGAGCAGACCGUAAUGGGGCGAAAGUCAGCGGGGGAUGUUGGUGCAGCCGUUUUCGGGAGAAGGGACGUCCGCGCGCGAAGCAGGCGUUCCGGAAGGGCGCGGGCCAGAAGGAAGAGAUUCAUCACUUUCACCAGGACUUCGUGCGGCAGGCGCCGCAACUCCGCUGGGGUAAGGCCGUCCGGCCCGGCUGCUGAUCCCCUGGGCGGCAACGCGGCGGCGACCUCCUCAUGUGUGACCGGCCCCCAUAUGCACUCGAGAGCGACAGGCUCUGAGUGCGGGAGGAGGCGGUCACGAAUGAAGCCCGCGGUGGAGAUGGGCUUCUUAGUGAAGAUGGGCUUCUUAGUGAAGAGGUCCGCCCAGAAGUCCAGCAGACCAGGGAUGGCAGGUGUCUGUGCAGCCAGCACGGGGCGUUCGCCAGGGCGAUCCCCUCUCCCCCCUCCUGUUCAACUUUGCGGUGGACUACGUUUUAGGCCAACUGCCCUCCCACAUCGGAGCUCGGAUCCUCGGUCGCAGAGUCAACGCUGCGGCCUUUGCAGAUGACGUCUUGCUGUUUGCAGCGACCCCGAGGGGCUUGCAGUCCCUCAUCGACGCAGCUACCGCAGCCCUCGCCCACCUGGGGCUGCAGAUCAACGCCCGGAAGUGUUUCACCCUCGCCUUAGUCGCGUCAGGGCGCGAGAAGAAGGUGAAGGUGGACAGCAAUGUCACCUUCACAGCAGGCAAUACCACCAUGCCUGCCCUGCGUGUGGGUGAAACCUUCCGGUACCUGGGGCUGCAAUUUUCCACGGCGGGUCGCUGUGUCUUCAAUCCACGUAGCCACCUGGUGGAGCAGCUUGACGUCAUCUCCCGAGCUCCGCUGAAGCCGCAACAGCGCCUCCACGCUCUCACCAAUGUACUUCUCCCUGGCCUGUACCACGGGCUGGCCCUCAGCCGCACCCGGGUGGGUGCAUUGAAGUCGGCCGACGUUACCAUCCGGGCCGCCGUCAGGAGAUGGUUCCGCCUUCCGGCGGACACCCCCCUGGGAUACUUCCACGCUCCUGUUGCCCAGGGGGGCCUCGGCAUUCCAUCUUGCCGAUGGAUGGGUCCGACCCUCCGUCGGUCCCGUCUCCUGGCGCUGAAGAAGUUAGGGCCAGCCUGCGACGGUGCAGGCAUGGAUGAGGUGCAGCGUGAGAUCGAGGUGCUGGAGCGCCACCUAAUGUGGGAGGGCCACCUCCUCAAAUCGUCAACGCAGGUUGGGGAAAUGUGGGCGGCGCGCCUACACAUCGCCAUUGACGGUGCGGCACUGUCAUCUUCUGCCGCCGUCAGUGGCCAACAUCAGUGGGUCGCCGACACCAGUCGCCUGCUAUCUGGGCGUGAGUACAUCGACGCCCUCCGCGCCCGCAUCAACGCCUUCCCUACGAAGGCACGGCGCAGUCGCGGGCGGGAGGCGGACACCAGAUGCCGCGCGGGGUGCCAGGCCGUGGAGACCGCCAACCACGUACUUCAGGCUUGCUUUAGGACGCACGGGUCCCGGGUCAAGCGCCAUGACGCUGUAGUGCGUUAUGUCGCCCGUGGACUCGCGCAGAGGGGCUUCAAUGUCUCUGUGGAGCCCCACCUCCGAACACCUGAGGGCAUCCGCAAGCCUGACGUGGUGGCGGUCAAAGACGGCAUCGCCCGCGUGGUCGACGCCCAGAUAGUCGGAGACCACCUCCGGCUCGACUGGUGUCACUCCCAGAAGGCGGCCUACUACGACACGCCGUCCAUCCGGCGUGCCAUCUCCAACCUGCACCGUGACGUUGA